GUGGGGAAUCUUCCGCAAUGGACGAAAGUCUGACGGAGCAACGCCGCGUGAGUGAAGAAGGUUUUCGGAUCGUAAAGCUCUUUCGUUAGGGACGAACGUGCUCUUUGUGAAUAAUGAGGAGUAAUGACGGUACCUAAAUAAGAAGCCACGGCUAACUACGUGCCAGCAGCCGCGGUAAUACGUAGGUGGCAAGCGUUGUCCGGAAUUAUUGGGCGUAAAGCGCGCGCAGGCGGGAUAUCAAGUCUGUCUUAAAAGUGCGAGGCUCAACCUCGUGAGGGGACAGAAACUGGGAUUCUUGAGUGUCGGAGAGGAAAGUGGAAUUCCAAGUGUAGCGGUGAAAUGCGUAGAGAUUUGGAAGAACACCAGUGGCGAAGGCGACUUUCUGGACGAUGUCUGACGCUGAGGCGCGAAAGCUAGGGGAGCGAACGGGAUUAGAAACCCCUGUAGUCC
rnacentral:rRNA from 1 species